rnacentral:lncRNA from 1 species
GAAAAACCUGUUCCACCACCUACACCGGUAUAUGAAAAGCCACUUCCACCACCUGUUCCUGUUUAUGAAAAACCUCUUCCCCCACCUACACCGGUCUAUGAAAAACCACUUCCACCGCCUACUCCAGUUUAUGAAAAACCUCAUCCUCCGCCUACACCUGUCUAUGAAAAGCCACUUCCACCGCCUGUUCCUGUUUAUGAAAAACCUCUUCCCCCACCUACACCGGUCUAUGAAAAACCACUUCCACCGCCUACUCCAGUUUAUGAAAAACCUCAUCCUCCGCCUACACCUGUCUAUGAAAAGCCACUUCCACCGCCUGUUCCUGUGUAUGUAAAGCCUAUUCCUCCACCUACUCCGAUCUAUGAAAAGCCACUUCCACCUCCUGUUCCGGUUUAUAAAAAACCUGUUCCUCCACCUACACCAGUCUAUGAAAAGCCACAUCCACCGCCUGUUUAUGAAAAGCCACUUCCACCUCCUGUGUAUGUAAAACCUAAGCCUCCACCAGUGCCAAUCUACAAAAAGCCACUUCCACCACCGGUUCCUGUUUACAAAAAACCUUGUCCUCCCCCUGUUCCUAUUUACAAGAAACCUAAUCCUCCACCAGUAUAUGAGAAGCCACUUCCACCACCAGUUCCUGUUUAUAAGAAACCUAAUCCUCCACCAGUGCCAGUCUACAAGAAGC